UCAACGUUAUUUGUAUUCAUACAUAUAUUUAUAAUAUUAUAUAUGAAAUGUUUAUACAUAUAUUGCUCGUGGAGCAAUUAUUAAUUAUCAUUGUCUUGGAUUUUCUUUUGUUUUGUAUUCGGUAAAAUCAUCUGGUAAUAUUCAGAAAAUAAAGUAGUGCAAAUCAAAUAUUCUUUUCCGGAAGGUUUGAAAGUAAGUAAGAUAAGGAAGUGGAGAGGUAAGGGAAUGUUUUUUUAUAGUUAUUGACCGUGAACCAGGAUCCGAGGGUAUGGGUUAAUGCGUGGUAAACAGGUAAAUAAAUAAUAUUUUGAUAUCUUAAUAUUUUAUGUUUAAUCGUAUAUACGCAAUGUACUAUGGAUUUUAUGGAAGAAAAAUGGUAUGUUAAUUGUGGAAGUAUAUGAGUAUACGGGGCAAAGUGUUUGAGAAGCAAAUGUUGUUACAUAAAUUGGUAGAGUCGGAGUUUUUGUAACAAUAUGUUUUGGAUGAUUAUUGGAAAUUUAAUGUGAGGAAAUAAUUUGUAAAUGGUGUACAAAUUAUGUGAAAAAGAAAAUAGGUUUCAGUUGGAUACUGGACAUAGGCUUCAGUUGGAUACUGGACAAGUUUUUUUUUUUUUAAUUUUAUUUUGUAAAAUAUACUUUCAUAGUUUUAUAACACAUCACAUUUUAUUAUAUAUAUUCAAUAUAUCAAUAAGAGAUUUUUGUUUGGUCUCACAUUUUUUUAAAUAUAUUUUGUUCACAUUGUAAAUAUUAAAUGUAUAUGAAAGAAGUUGAUUAGAUUAUUGAGUUGAAUGAAGUUUAUGGAAUAAUGUGGAUGGACAAUGGGUAAAUGUGAGAAGGGAUCCAUUUACAGGUUGCAUUGUUUUUGAACAUUAUUGGUGAUGAUAUUAGCAUGAUUAAUAGAUUUUUUUUUUAUAUUUUAUUUUCACAAUAAAUAUGUAACAAUUUUUGAUACUUAUUUUAUUUGUUUCAAAAUUUAAAUUUUAGAUUGUAAUAAAUAUUUUCAUUAUGUUUAUGUCAGACAAUCAUAUAUUUUAAUAUUUCAACCAAUGUUAAUAAUUGAGUGAAAUAUUUUGCACUUUAUUUUUAAAAUCCAAGAGUUUAUUGAGAUACACCAUCACAUUAAUAACAUAUAUAUUAAUCUUCAAUGAAAUGAUAUGUUGAUAUUGUUGUUUUCCUUGCAUUAUCCAAAAAUAUUUUUGUAAGUUGGGUAAGAAUUAUUCUGAGCCCAUUUUGAUAUGUAGCUUUUUAAUUCUUGUAUUACCAUAUUCCUGUGGUAUCCUAAUUGGGGUUAAAAUUUAUUAAGUAACAAUAACAUAUUUGUAUAUCUGUUAUUGUUUGUACAAUGAAAUUUAUUGUAUCAUACAUUUUUUUUUUUAAAUUUCAGUGGUACGUUCAAAUAAAAUAUUACCAUUCAUAUAUUUUUUUGAAAAGAUUCAAUGUUUUGAUUGUUAUUUUGAGAAAGUAAUAUACAUAAUAUAUGUCUCAUUUGACCCCUGAUGUGUUGGAGGAUACAGAUAGUGGAAGUGUGGCAGCAAUAAUGAUCAAGAGCUAUGACUCAGACGAAAAUUAUUAUCAAGAGCUAUGACUCGAACGUAAUGAUGGAACGAUGUGAGCAUGAUCAAAUAAACGAUGAGAGAUGAAGCAAAGGGGCAAAAUUACAUGAAAAUGAAUCGAACUCACCUUAGGCCGACAUGGGACUGCUCCAAAAAUCCUCUGCGCUAGUCGUCGGUAGAACUCUGUGGCUAUAGUGGCCAUAGCUCUCUGCAACACAUCUCCUUCUCUAUGUCCGCGAGAUUCCCCCAAUUGUUGCACUCCAUCAUUAUAAUUUUGUCUUUUCGGAGGACGUCUAUCAGUAGGUAUGGCCGGUCCUAUAAGAACGGAAGUUGUCGGCUGCCCCAAAUUCAUCUCGUUAUAUAUCCUCUUUUGUCCCUCAUGUGGCUCUACCCGCGGAUUCCCCGAUAACACCCCCAUAGGUACACGAUCCCUCAGUAGUUGCGUGCAUU